rnacentral:rRNA from 1 species
GAUGAACGCUGGCGGCGUGCCUAAUACAUGCAAGUCGAGCGAACGGACGAGAAGCUUGCUUCUCUGAUGUUAGCGGCGGACGGGUGAGUAACACGUGGAUAACCCACCUAUAAGACUGGGAUAACUUCGGGAAACCGUAGCUAAUACCGGAUAAUAUUUUGAACCGCAUGGUUCAAAAGUGAAAGACGGUCUUGCUGUCACUUAUAGAUGGAUCCGCGCUGCAUUAGCUAGUUGGUAAGGUAACGGCUUACCAAGGCAACGAUGCAUAGCCGACCUGAGAGGGGGAUCGGCCACACUGGAACUGAGACGCGGUCCAGGCUCCUACGGGAGGCAGCAGUAGGGAAUCUUACGCAAUGGGCGAAAGCCUGACGGAGCAACGGCGCGUGAGUGAUGGAGGUCUUCGGAUCGUAAAACUCUGUUAUUAGGGAAGAACAUAUGUGUAAGUAACUGUGCACAUCUUGACGGUACCUAAUCAGAAAGCAACGGCUAACUACGUG